rnacentral:rRNA from 1 species
CGUGCCCUUUGGUUCGGAAUAGCCCUUGGAAACGAGGAGUAAUGCCGAAUGUGCCCUUCGGGGGAAAGAUUUAUCGCCAAAGGAUCGGCCCGCGUUAGAUUAGCUAGUUGGUGAGGUAAUGGCUCACCAAGGCGACGAUCUAUAGCUGGUCUGAGAGGAUGAUCAGCCACACUGGGACUGAGACACGGCCCAGACUCCUACGGGAGGCAGCAGUGGGGAAUCUUGGACAAUGGGCGCAAGCCUGAUCCAGCCAUUCCGCGUGGAUGAUGAAGGCCCUAGGGUUGUAAAAUCCUUUCGGCAGGGAAGAUAAUGACGGUACCUGCUAAAGAAGCCCCGGCUAACUCCGUGCCAGCAGCCGCGGUAAUACGGAGGGGGCUAGCGUUGUUCGGAAUUACUGGGCGUAAAGCGCGCGUAGGCGGAUCGAUCAGUCAGAGGUGAAAUCCCGGAGCUCAACUUCGGAACUGCCUUUGAUACUGUCGAUCUGGAGUCCGGGAGAGGUGC